GAUGAACGCUGGCGGCGUGCCUAAUACAUGCAAGUCGAGCGAACAGACGAGGAGCUUGCUCCUCUGACGUUAGCGGCGGACGGGUGAGUAACACGUGGAUAACCUACCUAUAAGACUGGGAUAACUUCGGGAAACCGGAGCUAAUACCGGAUAAUAUAUUGAACCGCAUGGUUCAAUAGUGAAAGACGGUUUUGCUGUCACUUAUAGAUGGAUCCGCGCCGCAUUAGCUAGUUGGUAAGGUAACGGCUUACCAAGGCAACGAUGCGUAGCCGACCUGAGAGGGUGAUCGGCCACACUGGAACUGAGACACGGUCCAGACUCCUACGGGAGGCAGCAGUAGGGAAUCUUCCGCAAUGGGCGAAAGCCUGACGGAGCAACGCCGCGUGAGUGAUGAAGGUUUUCGGAUCGUAAAACUCUGUUAUUAGGGAAGAACAAAUGUGUAAGUAACUAUGCACGUCUUGACGGUACCUAAUCAGAAAGCCACGGCUAACUACGCG
rnacentral:rRNA from 1 species